GGAUUGUGGCUCGGUGGUAGAGCGCUCACCUAGCACGUGUGAGGCCCUGGGUUCUAUCCUCAGCACCA
rnacentral:tRNA from 1 species